UGAGGAACAUGACUUUCGGCGGGGGAGUAGCCGGCCCAACGGCCGGGUAAUACCGCGUACGACCUCUCGGGGACAUCCCCGGUUGGUGAAAGCAGCAAUGCACCGAAAGAGUGCCUCGCGGCCUAUCAGCUAGUUGGUGGGGUAACGGCUCACCAAGGCGACGACGGGUAGCUGGUCUGAGAGGAUGGCCAGCCACAUUGGGACUGAGACACGGCCCAGACUCCUACGGGGAGCAG
rnacentral:rRNA from 1 species